rnacentral:misc_RNA from 1 species
CGUCCUCCUUUCUAUUUUUGAUAGUAAAUCUAAGUAGAAGUAUUUAGUAAAUUGAAAUAUUAUUGAAUGCCGAAUAUCACUUCUAAAACUACAAUGUGUUAAUCAUUUGCCCCUCGUAUACUCGAUGGUCUAUCAAGAAGGUCAGCUGGGACAUAAAUUUGUAUUUGUCAGACACAAACUUUCAUUUCUUCCUGACCACGUUGCUAUCUUAUAUUUCAGAACAUUAAGUAUAACGUUCUUACUUAAUCAUUGAAUUAAAGAAUUCUGUAGAUAAAACUGAAAAAAAAUGAAUUAUUUUACUAAAGCAUUUAUAGUAAUUCUAGCAUUGUUAUCUGUGAUAAAAUUUAAUACUGGAGCACCAGUAGAAAAUACUUCCCUUACAAGUGGAUCUGACGCAAAAUCUGCAUUUGGACAGGCCUUUGAUGAGAUAGUAGUAGAAUCUACGCUUAACGUCAAAAGAAAAGGCAGUGGAAGACAAUCCAGAAAUAACCAACCUUCGAUCACAAGAACUAAACGACAACACGGCGUCGGGAUCUCAAUCCCAGUCGUUGGCUUUUGGGCCUAAGGGCCCAUUUGGUUCAGCUUCUUUCGCAGGAUCUCAACAAUACAUGUUACCAAAUGGAGAAACCAUAAAUAUAGCAUUCGGUAAUUCUAUAGGAAAUUCUGAAUCUAAUAAAGCCGGAGGUGCGACUAUUUCUAUAAGCAGUCCCAAAAGAUGACGAUAAUAUGAUACCUAUAGUUAUUUUAAUACUAUGUAUAUACAAUUUCUUGCUUACAUUUUAAAUGUUUAAAUAAAGGUUACAAAAAAAUAAA